ensembl:lncRNA
UGGUUUUCUGUUCUUCUUUUAAAAGAAUUGGGCAGGGAUUUGUUAAAAGCUUUUGCUUUUUGGGACUGUGUGUGGCAUUUGAGUAUGUCCCCAAUCCCUAUAAUUUUUUAAAUUACUUUUCCUAGCUCAUGAGACAUUAAAGUUGGUGAAGGCUCUUUAGAUGGUGGGUACCAAGUUCCUUGUCUAUUAGUGCCAACCUGCUCAUCACUUUGGGAGCAAGAAACAAGUUUCAGACACUCAGAACAUAACUAGCACGCUGCACUGCAGUAACGCAGCAAUAACAGGAUGGCAGAAAGCAAGAUUAUUUUGCUUUUAGCCUUCUGUGCUCCCUCACAGGCAUCCAGCUCAUUUUUAAGCUAUAUCAGAAUGAUUUCUAUGGGUUACCUUUCCUUGAUGUCAAAGCAGCAGAUGAGCAAUUAAUUUUUUUUUUUUUACUUCAUUUUGGAAAUGAAGAAAGGCAAGUAAACCCUUCAGCUACAUUACAGGCAGUUUUUGCAAGCAAAGUAGUCAGAUCUAUUUCUGUUGAGAUAAAACAGAAUGCAUUUCUUCAGAGGUGCAGCAAUGAAAACAGAAAAUAAGUGAUUUUUAAACAUGAACCGCCUGACAGCAUAACAGCCGAGCAUCCUGUCCUCAGAGCCAGGGCUCAAAGAGGGUGUUGGAUCCCAUCUGCAGCACCAUGGUGCUCUGACAAAGCCUCUCCUCAGAUGCCCUUUUGGUAACCCCAUUUGUCUUAAAAAGAAAAAAAAAAAAGAAGAAGAAGAAGAAAAAAAAAAGCCACAGCGAAACGACUGCUGGGGAAUGCUGCACAGCACAAAGGCUGAGCCAAUCCUUCGCUUAGUGCUACCAGGCCUAACAGAUGUGUUGAGUGCACAGAUCUGGGUUGCAGCAAGCAUUAAUUUGUCCUACUGACUUCCUGUGAGGGUUCGGUGUCUGCAGCGGGGCGUGAUGCUGCACCACGCGUACAGAAGCAGAAAGCUACACCAGAGCUACAACUUGGCUCUUCUGGCAAUGCAUAGCCAGACCUCUUCAGGAUCAGAGCUGGACAAGGAAGCGAUCAAAAGCAGCAAACAAACCUAAAUUAAAAUUGGAAUGAUGAAGCCUAUAAGACUUUGCGUUAAUCCUGCAUGUUGUGCCUCCAGACAUCUGUCAGCCCCCAUAUACAGCCAAUUCUCAGGGCUAGCUGUGGAUAGAGGAAGAAAUGUGCCACUUUACAAAUACUGCCAGCAAGAGCCUUGGAAUUAUCUUCUACAAGGACAAAAACAUGAGAGGUGCUGCUUCCUGCCUUUCAGAGGCAAGCCAAACUACUUCACAAACUGGGGGCUUAAACAGGAAAGGAGAUGAUACUGCCUCAAACCCCGCUUCCCGCAGUACCUCAAUACUUCCGUCCACAAAAUCAUCAGGUGCAAGCACACCAAAAGCCACAAGUCAUCCUGCUUGAUCCUCAGUUACCAGCAGCAUUCAAACAUCAAAAUCAGAGCCUCAUCCACCAAGCUGCAAAACUUCUGUAGGACCAUAGUCAAAGAGCUGCACUUAGGCUGAGAUGAAAACUGUUUCAGUAGCUGAGCUGAAGAAAUGACGCUCACUUUCACCUUUGCCGCAUCACUGCACUGUUCACUACCGGGAAAUGGAGGUGGCAUUCAGACCAGCCGCUCUGCUGGAAGAUGUUGCUGUGGGGUCAUUACUGGCAGUGAGUUGGCACUUAGUGAUGGUGAACUCUGUACUAACUUCUGCCACAGAGAAUCAGAGACAUUUGGCAGAAUCACCAAGGUUGGAAAAGACCUCCAAGAUCCUCUAGUCCAACUAUCCACCUACAACUGCUGGGUGAGAACAGGCAAUAAUUUGAAUUGUAUGAGGUUAACUGCUAGACAAUAACACAUGUAAUCAUUACUAUGGUUGUUAUAUGCCUUGUCAAUGGUAUUACAGUAAGAAUCACCCAGACUAAAGAAGAAAGAGUUCUGAUGGAAGCAGAACUAACUUCAGCAAGCAGUAAUCCAACACCAUGCAUCACCCCUUUCACACUGAAGGACUGUUAUAACAAGAUGGUGUCGAAAGUCAUAGACUAAAUUAACUCCAUGUACAAUUUACUGGGAUGGCCUCCCACUGGGAGGGGGAAGGGAAGUAAGCAAAAGGCUGCUUGGUGUUAAGCUGCUUGCUGGGUUAAACCACAACAGCACAUUGGAAGAAACAUACUAUCACAUGCAGUCAGCUGAACUUACCCAGAGCUGGAAUGAGACAGGAAAAAAAAAACAUCAUUAUGGUGGUGUACGCAUCUGAGGCCAGUAACACCAAGCCAGACUAGGGGUCCCAACACUGAGGAAGCCCUUCGUGUUGAGACCUCCAGCCACAGGAAAAGGCAGUGCCUGCUUAAGUCCAGAAAGUAAAACAUUUCUGCAUUAUGGGAAGGUUUGCCCAUAGGAAAACCGAUUUGAACUCCAGAUGACAGAACUGCCUGUUCAGUAAGUCAGGAUCAAGGGCAAUGCUGUUAUCCUUCAUGUCCACUGUGACCCUCACAUUAGGACCUCCAGUCUCAGGGCAGGAUGAAGAAUAAAACUGAAUGCUAAUACUCUAAAAUGAAGUGAAAAAUCAUUUAAAAAUUCAACAUUUUCUUUUUCCUUGCCCUGCUAGCCUUCCCC